rnacentral:misc_RNA from 1 species
ACAAACUUGGUCAUUUAGAGGAAGUAAAAGUCGUAACAAGGUUUCCGUAGGUGAACCUGCGGAAGGAUCAUUAGCGAAACAUCCAACGGUUGGUGUCCCGGCGCCUAACGGGUCGGGCCCAACCGGUUAUCACAUACACCGUCGAACUGUUGGGGGUUGGUUCUGCCUUCCCCCGCCUUUUCAAACUCUUAAGUCUAGUAUGAAGUUUAGGUGAAAACCAAAACACAACUUUCAACAACGGAUCUCUUGGCUCUCGCAUCGAUGAAGAACGCAGC